GGGUCAGUAGGUUGGUCGUGCCACCGGUACGUACUGGUCUCACUGAUUCCUCCUUCCUGAAGAACCGUAAUGCCAUUAAUUUGGUGUUGCGGGGAAACAGGACUGUUACUUUGACAAAAUUAGAGUGUUUAAAGCAAGCUAACGCUUGAAUACAUUAGCAUGGAAUAAUGAAAUAGGACGAUCGAUCCUAUUUUGUUGGUUUCUAGGAUUGACGUA
rnacentral:rRNA from 1 species